AUGGAACUAGUUUUUUGGAGUGCAGAUCGAAGGUGCUGCAAGACCAGCUUCAUCAAGGGACGAACGCAAGAAACAAAGACAAAGAUGAGGAGAUUGUAGCGGUAUAUAUUACAGAGAAUUCUUCUAUGCUAUCACCUCAAUUUCCCUGAAAAGGUACUAUUUGUAUGUCGCUUCUAAUAAAAUUGCUUUGACACACACAGCUUAGAAGUUUGCCCUUGGAAUCCAGGAACUGAAGUCCAUCAGUCACAAUUAAAAACAACACAAGCAGUGUUUCUACCGGACUGGCUUGUGGCACUGCAAAAGUUAAGAUUUGAGGAAGGAUGGCAAGCGUGCUUGGAGUGGGUGGAUGGUUUCUUCCUUUUUCUCCUCCUCCUCCUGUUGCUUUGAUUCUCUGGCUGGCCGAGUUCAUUUGCAUGACUGUUUCAUGCUUCUGUCAGCAUACGCUCACGUCUGCGAUAAUUUAAUGCCACCGCUGGAUGAAUUGACAACGUGCUAUCAGUAUAGGAAAGUAUUUAAUACUGCUGGCCGCUCGCUGCCGUGUUAUCAUAAGGCGGGUUGGCAGCAUGCCUGGGAGCUCUCACCACUGGAAAAGUCUGAUCGUUUAAUAAACAUAAAUAAAUAUGGAGUUCCAUUAAGCUGGAAGGAAUAAAGGUUUAUUGGCUGGUUUAAAGAGCCUGGACAGGUCAUUUCCACAUCACUUCGGAUUUUAGCCUGCUAGCCCUUGGGACUUCACCGAGAGCUGAAACUUACCCUUUGGCUACUGCCCUGCACAUUUUCGGUCUGACCUAAUGAUUCUCUGUGGCUGCAGAAAGCACCAUGUGCACAUCACAGAGAGAUAAGGAAAAGAGCAUUAGAGCGACACCGCAUGCACUUCUGUACUAAAGGGCAGCUUGUGGUCAUGCAAAUCUGCCUGUCUGUUAAGAUCAUAAUCUGAAAGUUUUUCCAGGUGACCCUGCCGUCCAAGGUCAGGUGGGUGGUGACUGAGUGGACUGAUUGGUUGUGCUGCCUCAUCUCAAUCAGGGGUGGGGGACGUGUGGUCUUCCAAAUGCUGCUAGACUACAAAUCCCAUCGUCUUUAAUAUUUGGCUGUGCUGGGUGGUGCUGAUGGAAGCCUAACAAGAUACAGAGGGGCACAGGUUCCUCAGACGUGUCCUAAAUGCCUUCCCUGCUUUCAUCUGCUGAUGAACCUCAUUUCCCUAGGAAUUUUUAUUUUCAUCAUCUUACUGCUGGGUUUUGUUGUUGCUGUUGGCACCUGUCUGUCUCGAGAGACAAUGGAGUGAAGUCAGACUGCUGGGGAAUCACAGCACCUGCUGUGACUGCAGGGACCAGUAAAACUGCAGUAAAGCAUUAAAAUAUUUUAUUUCAUCAAAUAAACUUUAUGUAUGUUGCACUAUUUGUAUUUAGGUUCUUGCUGUUUGACGUACAAUUCCUUGCUCUCCCCACACUUUCUAUGCACGCUUACACCCUAAAACACCCACAGAAUCUACAGCGGAGCUCUUAUGACCAGGAAACCAAAUAACGUAAACUAAGCCAUAACGAGAGAUCUAUUUAAAAACCGAAGUUUCGCCCACCCGCCCCACCCAAUAAUUUUUGUUGAUUUUUCUUUCUUUCUUUCUACAGAACAUCCCUCCUCAGGGCCCGACAACAGACAUACAGCAGGUUGCUGUUACCAAAACCUACAGCAGAAAACACCCAGAGAUCAAAAUAGUCAAAAGGCACCAAACCAAAGAAAUCUAUGAACA